GCAUUGGUGGUUCAGUGGUAGAGCUCUUGCCUUCCAUAUAGGGGACAUGGGUUUGAUUCCCACCAAUGCA
rnacentral:tRNA from 1 species